rnacentral:lncRNA from 1 species
UAUAAGGGAUAGUCCCCCAACGAGGACGGGGACAGGGAUUUCCCGAAACCUAUUAACGAGGAUGGGUUCGAGGAUGGGGGCGGGGAUGGAGAGUGGGAACGGAGAUGGUAUUGUCAUACCUGGCCCCUACCUAACCCGUUGCCAUCCCUAGUCUAAACUGCAGGGCAUGAGGAUUUCUUAUACACACAAUUAUGAUGUUGUGGGUAUGGGAGAUAGUCCCCCAACGGGGACGAGGAUUUCCCGAAACCUAUUAACGAGGAUGGGUUCGGGGAUGGGGGUGGGGAUAGAGAGCGGGAACGAAGAUGGUAUUGUCAUACUUGGCCCCUACCCAACCCGUUGCCAUCCUUAGUCUAAACUGCAGGGCAUGAGGAUUUCUUAUACACACAAUUAUGAUGCCGUGGAGAUUUGAACCUAAGACCUCUGGUCUGCAAGUCAAGGCCCUUUUCCACUGUACUAGAACCCAUUGGCAGAAUGCAACCUAAUAGUUUCAUUGAUGUAGGACGAAAUAUGAGUCAGUUAUGGUGUGAAAAUUUAAUUAAAAUAAAGUGGCUCAAGGUUGGAAGGAAAUCAUGCAAGAGAGGAAAUUUCCAAUUAAAUGUCAAUUAUUGUGCUAGGAAAAGAAGAAAGGCGUUGGGAUUUUCUAAUUGAUUGAGGAAGUUUGAAGCAAUUAUGAUUCUGUCAAGAUUUGUAUUUAAUUUAAUGUUUAAUUUUAUAUUUUGAAGAAUAAAUUAUCUAUUAGGAUAUUAUUUUCCUAAUAUGAUUUUUAUUAUUUUCCAGUUAGCUAAGUUUAGGAAUAUUCUAGAACCUAGAGUUUCCUAUGGUUUUAAGGUUUCUUUGUUUUCUAUUUAAACUAACUCAUGGCGUUGUAUUUGAAGUUUGUUCAUCUUAUUUUCAAUCAAUAUAUUUGAGGUUUACUCAAUUUUUAUGGUGGAUUAAUUCCAGUUUGUUGGUGGAUUCCGACAUUAUUACUUGUAAGGUUAUCAUUCGAUCUCCUUAUCCCUUAUAUCUCGUUGCGUUAGUUGGUAUCAGAGCAGGUUUUUCCUGACUCGAGAUGCCUCCAAUGGCUCGUCCAAAUGAAGAAGAUAUCACCCAUGGAGACGGGAAACCAAUCACUCUUAGAUAACUGCAAGGCAUGAGGAUUUCUCACACACAUACAACUAUGAUGCUAUGAGAAUUUGAACUUGAGACCUCUAAUCCGCAAGUCAAGGUCCUUUUCUACUGGGCUAGACCCCGUUGGCAGAACGCAACCUAAUAGUUUCAUGAAUCUCAAAGAUAAUUUGUGAUAAAAAGCCUAAUUUUUAUAGUGGAUGAGGAAAACAUGUAGGAGACCAAAUGCGUAACAAAUUUUGAAACGUGACGUGACACCGUCACAUAAUGUUAUAUGUGUUAUAGUAUUAAUGGAUAACACAUGAUGAAUAUAUCAUGAACUUAGAUUAUACACGUGUUCUCACAUAAUUUUCGCACUUACAUAUACGUAUAUAUGCAUUAUUAUCCUUUUUUCUUUUCCUUUUUUUUAUAACAAAAAGGCUAUUAGCUCUACGCAUUAAUUAAGGAUAUUUGGGAGAAGAAUGCCAAUUUGCCAAACCAAAUGCAUGAGAUAUGCAUGAUCCCUCCAUCACAUGUUGAACUCUCCACGUUUAUUCCUCUCUCUCUCUCUCUCUCUCUCUCUCUCUCUCUCUCUCUCUCUCUCACAUUUAGAGGUUGAGUAUCUUGUGAAAUCUUUCCUUACGUGCAUGGGACUUUCUCCAAUAUAUCUUCUGUAAACCUGUAAACUGCAGUACCACAUGUCAUUAGCUAAAGGCUCCACGUGUGUCCUAGCGCAGCAUUUUGUGUCCAACUAUGAGACGCCAUGUCUUUUUAAUCACACAAGCCUUUUUCAAAUGCAUUGAUUUGACAAACUCAAAAAUUGUUAGCGGUGUUCUAACUUCUACCCCUCAAAUUUCAAAUAACAGGUUUCAGGUUUGCCUGCCUGCCGGUGAAGUAUCGACGCCCCCUAAUUAUGUCAUUCCCAUAUUUCACGACCUAAUGUAGUUAUGUGAGCUCAAUGCUACUUUCCCUCUGCAUGUUUGUUUAAAUGUCGGUUAAGCCCUUAUGUUAGGGGAGAAAAAUACAUAGAAUGGAAAAUUAAAAACAAUUUAAAGUUUUAAUUCUUUGUUUUCCUACUCAUUUCUUCUUCAGGUGAUCAUUUUUCAUCGCUAUCUUAUUUCUCUCAUCUUAUAUUGGAAAAUAGGAGAAUCGAACCUAAGACUUUAAAUGUUCUUAACCACUGAAGUACAAAACCCGUGCCAUCUUUUUUCCUCUUUAAAUCUUUAACUUAAAGAAAAUAACUACAAAGAAGAAAACAAAAACUCUACAGAAUCGAAUAAGUCUUGCAUCUUUGAACCUUUGUUUAUGUCAUUGAAGUUUAUGUCUAUUAUACAUGCUUCUCGUUUUUGAGACACCGACCAAAGUUUUAUGUGCUCCAAAUCAAAGGAACAAUGAUGCAAAGUGUAUCGAGGGAGGCAAAGUAUUGAUAUUUAGAACAUGAAACCAAAUUUAUUGUAUCUUACAAAUGGUGGCUCUCAUGCAUGGCAGUUUCUUGGGGACUAUGGUUUCUCAUUAAUUAAUUAGGUAGAAAUACAUCUACAUACCAGAAAGUUCUACAAAUUAUGUCACAUUUGCCAAAUUGAUGAAAGUAGAUAUACUCUAACAGAUAAUGCUUCGAUUAAAAUAGAAUUUUUAUUUUCGAUCAUGGAAAUAUUUAAGAAAAGAAGAACAUCUACGAAAGAAAGAGAAGCAUUGAUUGAUUGAUUGAUGAAAAUGUGACAAUGAUAGAUUUCUAAAAACACGAUUAAUUAGGGAUUUGGUAGCAGUUGCAUGACAAAGAUAAAUAUAUAUAGCUUACUAGACAUCAAUGAUUGAGUUUCAAAAUGGGUGAUAGGCCAUGCAAACUUCCAGAGGUGCCUCUAUAAGAGCAACUCCACCCAUAAGGGCUAAGUCUAAGGCAAGGGCAAGCAAGGGCUGCCACUAUUCACAUGAAUAGUGGCAGCCUUGCCAUUUGUGGUUCCACCCAUGAAGGUUAAGUCUAGGGCAAGUCUAAGGCAAAUACUAUUCAUUGUACUUUAUUUCCUAUUUUUUUUAUACUUUAAACCAUUAAUUUUAAUAAUCUUUUGUAAUUAAAUUUUCGGAUAAUAUUUUUGGUUGUCACGUGUCCAUUAUUUUUCAGAAAAGAUUUUCGGAUGAGAAUCUCGAUUGCCACGUGUCUUAUUUCAAAUAAAAUUUUCGGAUAUUCAUUAAAAAAAGUUAUAAUCUCAGAUUUCAGAUAACAUUUUCAUCCUCUAAAAUUGUGCCACGUGUCCCAUGUCAGAUAAGAUUUUCAGAUAUUUAAAAAAAAAAUUAUAAUCUCAUAUUUCAGAUAAGAUUUUCACCCUCUAAAAUUGUGCCACGUGUCAUUUCUGUCAGAUAAGAUUUUCAGAUAUUUUUUUAAAAUUAUAAUAUCAGAUUUCAGAUAAGAUUUUCAUCCUCUAAAAUUGUGCCACGUGUCAUCUCUAUCUUCUGAAUCCCUCUAUAAAACUACAUCAUCAACUCAUACCUCUCACACCAUCUCUUAUCUAUUCCUUCAUUUCUCAGAUUUUACAAAACACAUUCUACUCUCAAUGUUAAAUUUGAGGAGGGUGUUAGAGAGGCAACAGAAAGAAAGGGAAGAAAUCCGGCGUAGACGUGCUGAAGAAGAUCGGGACGCCGAUGAAGAAGAGGAACAAAUGCUUGCAGCAGCGGUGUGUAUGCUUAAUCAAUCAAGGCAACAUCGUCCUCCUCGUGCCCCAAAUGUGGACAGACGUAGAGAGUCUCAGGGUAAGAAUUUCUUGGAGGAUUACUUUAUCCCAAAUUCGUUAUAUCCUACUCAUAAGUUUCGAGAGAGAUAUAGAAUGGAGCCACAUUUGUUUCAAAAAAUCAUGCAUGAUAUUUGUAAUUACGACACAUACUUCAUUCAAAAGCAUGAUGCUGUUGGAGUUUUGGGUCUUAUCCCGGAGCAAAAACUUACAGCUGCUUUGCGGAUACUUGCUUAUGGGGCAUCUGCAGAGCAGGUGGAUGAGAUUGCAAGGAUGGAAAAAUCAACUAUCCUAGAGUGCUUGGUGAGAUUCUGUGAUACAGUGGAAAAUUUGUACACGAGGGAGUACCUUCGCAAACCCACGUCGAGGGACCUGCAAAGGCUGCUACAAAAAGCAGAGGCUCGAGGUUUCCCAAGCAUGAUUGGAAGCAUUGAUUGCAUGCACUGGCAGUGGAAGAAUUGUCCUACUGCUUGGCAAGGAGAGUACGGGAAUCGAAAGGGCCAAAAAAGUAUAAUUUUGGAGGUCGUAGCUUCAUUCGACUGUUGGGUUUGGCAUGCCUUCUUCGGGGUUGCCGGAUCUCAGAAUGACCUCAAUGUCCUUGGUCAAUCCCCGGUGUUCGAUGAGGUAUUGCGAGGUCAUUCCCCCCAGGUCACGUACCAAAUCAACAAUACCGUAUACUCUGGUGCGUACUACCUUGGCGACGAAAUUUAUCCUAGGUGGACAACAUUCGUGAAAACAAUUCCGAAUCCCCAAUUCGAGAAGGAAAGAAGCUUUGCUUCCUUUCAAGAAGGUUACAGGAAAGACGUGGAAAGGUGUUUCGGUAUCUUGCAAGCUCGUUGGGCAAUUAUCAGAGGUGCUGCUCGGAUGCUAGACGAGGAGUUGCUGCGGAGUAUUAUCAUGACUUGCAUCAUCCUCCACAACAUGAUUGUGGAGGAUGAGUAUGACUACGAUGCUCCAGAGGUGUUUGAACUCGAUCCCAUGAACACGGCGUUGACAAGAAUAUAUGAAAGGCCGAUGGGACCAAAUGGACUACCAAUGGAGCCCGAACCGUUAGUUCGGAAUGGUCGAUUCAACAACCCCAUGAUUGAUCGUUAUGAAGAAAUGCAAUCUUCAUAUGUUCAUGAGAGACGUCAAGUUGACUUGAUCGAGCACUUGUGGGAGAUGAAAGGCAAUCACAAUGGAUGAAGUCAAGAUUAGUGCUUUGUUUGGAAUUAUGCUUUGUUUUUAAUUAUGCUUUAUUUUGUGUGUGGUGUUUUUUGGAAUUAUGCUUUUAUUUAUUAUUAUUAUGCUUUUAUGUAUGGGUUGUUUUGUGUGUUGUUUGCAAUAAAUUAUGGUUUGGUUUUAAUUAAUCUUUGUUUUGAUGCUCAAAUAUUUUUAAUAAAUAGUCAUAUUAUUUAAUGCUUUUUUUAUUUAAUAAAAAGGAAACAAUACAACAAAUUAAAGGAUAAUACAACAAUACAACAAUACAACAUAUGGCAAAGGUGUUUCAAUACAACCUAAUGGUUUUCAUCCUUUAACCAAUCCGUAUUGCUAGGUCUGUCAUCAUGGAAAAGUUUUCUUCUCAUUACAUCCCUUCAUCUAUGCUUCCAAUAGGCCUUUGUUUCAGGAGACAUAUGGCUCGUAUCCAUGGCCAUAAUUUUCAUCUCUCUAUCAUCCAUGUCCUUUUCUUGUGCAUGAUGUUGUUGAAUUGCAAAUGUUUCCUCUCGUGCCUUGUCUACUUCAUCUCUUUUCAAGUCUCUCUCAAUUCUUAGUGAGGUGUUCUUAGCUAUUUGCUCCAAUAAUUGUACACAUUCAUUGCUCGAAGUGCCCCCUCUCUUAGCCUUUGCCCCCUUUCUCCCAAUAGGUCUCGGCGGACGUGGGAGUGGUGACUCCGUCUCCAUUGGGGAGUCCAAUGGCGAAUCGGUUGAUGGUGAAUCGUGGAGCGGCGUCUCAUUCAACACAACCGGCGGACCGGUGGGAAUAAUUUUGAAUCUCGAACAAUCCUUCACGACUUCCCAACAUUGGAAAUGCACGAAACUUUUUUUGCCUUGCCCCAUGGCACUGAACCACAUUUGUGCUUGUAUGAUCUAUUAAAAAUAAAUAAUUGGAAGUGCAAGAAAAAAAAAUUAUUAUGCAAGAAAAUAUAAACUAUUUUGAAAUGCAAGAAUAAAAUUGAUUAUGUAAGAAAAUAUAGACAAAUUGAAAAUGCAAAAAGAAAAAAAAAGAUUAUGCAAAGAAAAAGAAAUAGAAUAUGCACACAAAAAAAGUUACAUUAAAUUGAUGAAAAUGGCAAUUAUAAAUAUUUUAUCUCAUCGGAUAGAUUUUGACCGCUUCGAAUGUUCUCCCUUGCUUUUGUCAAGGCAUUUCUCCAUUUUCCUAACUCUUUAUUCAAAAGUUUCCAUCUACUAGACAACGCCAUUUUGGUCCGAAUGGAACCCGAUCUUUGACAAAAUUCUCCAUGAAUUUUGCUCCACAUAUGAUGGAACUUCAUCUCAUUGCCCGUGAUAGGGUCAUGACUAACGUUCACCCAAGACUGACACAACGCAAUAUCUUCCUGAGUUGACCACGAGCCUCCGGUUUCGACAGAAGAUGCCAUUUGUUUUUUUUUUUUUUUAUACAAAUGGAAAGUAGUAGAAAAAUGUGAGUGGAGAGUAAAAAAUAUUGGAAGGAGAAGAGUUUGUAUGGAGAAUUGGUGUGGGAAGUGAAUAAUGUGAGUGGAGAGUAAAAAAUAUUGGACGGAGAAGAAAUUGUAUGAAGAUUUAGUGUGGAAAGUAAAUAAAAUUGUUAGGUAUUUAUAGGGAAAAAAUACAUAAUUUUUUGGUAUUUUAAAAAAAAAAAUUUAGAAUUUUUUCGAUUUUUUUUGGAAUUUUUUUAGUCAAAAAAACGAGGACCGUCGGAUUUCUGGAAAAAAACCCAUCGGAGAAGCCCGAUAGCGACACGUGUCAAAUGCCCGUUGGAGUCUGUCAGCGAUGACGUUAGCGCUGACGUCAUCGCCCUCGGGCUGAAGCCCAGGCGAGACUUGCUCUUGGGCCUGCCCGGGUUGGUGGGACCCACUAAUUGUCCGGGCUCAAUCUUGCGCGCUGGAGGGCCUUGGGCUUGGGAGGGCAGCCUUUUGCCCGGUUUCAUGUUGAGCGGUGGAGUUGCUCUAAGGUGUGUACGUAUACCCCCCCCAAAAUUUAUAAUCAACUUAUUUUAUUUAUUUAUUUGUUUUAUAUAACUUGUAUAAAUGAGAAUUUCAUCUUGAAGGGUACAAUGGCCAUUUUGAUUGUAGGCUUGUAGGCUUGUAGCAGUGUUUUUUCGGCCUCCUUGAUACUCCUCUAUAGGUUAUGUAUAACUGUAAGAAGAAAAUAUACAUAAAGGCCAAAAAGAGAGGCCAAAGAGAGGUCGACAUCGAGUUUGUAGAUGAGAGCCUGAGUGCAAACAAAUUGGAGAAACCAUAGUCCCCAAGAAACCAUGGUGGCUCCUCAAGAAGGGAGGACUCUUCAGCAAAUUUAGCCUUAAAGCUUGCAAACAAAUUGGAGAAGUAACUCAUCUCUCUCUCUCUCUCUCUCUCUCUCUCAUGAAAAUAUUAGAGUUACGAAAAAGACAGCGUGAACUACAAUCCUUAAACAGCCUUUAAUAAAGCAGAGAUAUAGUCAACAAACUGACUAGCUAGAAAGUUGAAUAGCUAGCUCAUUCAAGCCCUUACUUGUUCUUUCUUUUAAGGUUCUUAUAAACAAGCCCCACAGGUGGGUUAUGAAUUCAAGAUCAUUAUUAAAUCUCUUCUUCACAAAUUGGGAGCUACCUCUUCUUCUUAACCUGGCUAAGAUCGACAUCGAGUUUGUUGUUCCGAUUAAAAGAUCGACCUGAAUAUGUGGGCAAAACUUAAAGCUUCUUCAAAGAUUGCGAAAGGUAUGCAGUAUAUGUUUUUGUUUAAUUAACUUUUCGGUUGAAAGUUAUAUCUUCAUCUUUUUUUUCCUCUACAAUUUUGGAUUAUUGGUUUUCAGGGAAGGAAGUGAUAAGACAAGUUCGAAAAAGCUUCAAUCUGAACGAAGAGUACCUGAGUGCAUUUAGAACCAAAUCCUAUGCAGACUUCUACAAUAAGGCUCAAUCGCUUGUAAACGAGCCAUCAUCUUCUUUUAGUUACAGCCAUGAUCACAAAUUCUCAAAAGUCCUCCUAGAACCUGGUCAAGAAGCCAUACCUGGUAUUCUUGAAUCCGCGAUUCUUUCGAAGGUGCCUGAAUUGAAAGGCCUUAUGCUCAACUACUGUGGCAUUAGUGCUGAGGCCUCAAAAAUAUGUAGCCACCUCUUAAAAAGCAUCAAACGUAUCCAAUCCAACUACCACGUCGUUCAACAAGCACUUGAUAAAUUUGAGGACUAUUCCCCGAACAAAAUCAAAUCUAUUGUUUCUGAGCUAAACUUGUUCAUUCUCCAAGGCCUCUGGAGUCAUAUUCUGAAUUGAAAAUACCUCAAGAGUCAAAGUAUUUUGAACUUUAAUAAGUCUGCUCAUAUUAAUUAUUCUAAUACUUGGAGAGGAAUUUUAUUUGGUGCUCAGAUUCUUCCAAAAGGUUUAAAGUGGAGGUUUGGCAAUGGUGAUGACAUCUUGUUUUGGAAGGAUAACUAGGUGGGUUGUGGCUUGCUUUAGGAUUUUUCCGCUAUUUCCCUUUCUGAAGACAUGUCGUUGUGGACAGUGCGAGAUUUUAUGUCUGACCAUGGAUGGAAUCUUGAUGCGCUUGACCAGGUCUUACCUAAUGAAAUUGUGCAAAGGAUUUGUGCUAUCCGUACUGGAUUUGAGUAUCAAAGAAAUGAUAAAUGAAUAUAGGGUUUAUCAAAUAAUGGCUCCUUUUUUGUUAAAUCUUCAUACCUUUCUUUCUUUGAUGAUGCAGGUGUUAUGCCUUGACCUUGGGACUUCAUUUGGAUGCUAUGCUUGCCCCAAAAGUUAAAAACCUUUGUUUGACUAAUUGGGCAUGGCAAAAUCCUUACUAAUGUUCAAAGGGAGAAGAGAUUGAUGACAACUGAUCCUAACUGCCACAAAUGCCUUUCCCUUCCUGAGACUAUGGAUCACGUUUUCAAAGGAUGUAGAGUUGCUCUUAAGGUGUGGAAUUACAUAAAGGUUCCUUUUGAUGUUCUUCACUCUUUCUCCUUAGACUUUACUGAUUGGCUAAGAAUAUUAACCUCAAGAGCAAGAUUUCGUUCUCCGGCAACCUUCCUUGGACACUUGUUUUUACUGUCUCUAUUUGGCAUUGUUGGAAAUGGAGAUGUAACUCUAUUUUUAACCUUGACUAUGAGACUGAUCCUCCCAACCCCUAUCACACUAUUCUGCAAUUUUCUAGUGAAUGGCUCUUGAUGCCAAUAAUGUGGUUAAUGCUAAGCCUACUAGUCCAAGUCCAUUGGAGUCUUCCUACUCUUGGCAACUUCAAAUUGAAUGCGGAUGGCAGCUGUAAAAUAGAUUCUUGGAAGAUCUGCGCUGGUGGUUUGCUAAGGGACUCUAAUGGAGCAUGGAUCUGUGGGUUCUCUGCCAAUAUUGGGAUUGGAAAUAUUAAUGAGGCUGAGCUAUGGAGUCUCUAUAGAAAUUUGCAAAUGGCUUGGGCCAAGGGCAUUAGGUCCCUUGAUAUUGAAUGUGAUUCAUUGUCUGUUGUCUCUCUGAUUGCUAAGGCUUGUAACCAUUCACAUCCUCUUUUUGCCUGAUUGAAGACUGCAAGUUGUUACUUAACUGUGAUUAGAGUUGCAAUGUCUCUUAAAUCUACAGGGAGCAAAAUAGAGCAGCUGAUCACCUUGCUAACUUGGGGUAUAUUGUGAUGAAAAGAUCAAGUAAUUGCCACCAUCUAAUGUCUUAGUUUCCAUAUAUUGUCGAGCACGAGAGAAAGAGAGGAGUCCAAAGCUGAAGAUGGGUUUCACUGAAAUUACCACUAUCUAAUGUCUUAGUUUCCACACGUUUGAAAUCAUCACUUGUAGCCUACGAAAAAUCAUUCGAUCUGAAUAUACUUAUUUCAUGGCCCUCAGACAUAUGAGCAGAUCUGUCGGGCAAAACGGAGAACAAAACUAAAAUUAACUUCUUGAAGAAAAAUACACGGUAAUGUUUGUUGAGUAAAAGGUGGUUGCGAUUAUGCUAAGCAGUUGUGGCAUUAUUCUUUUAAUUUCAAAUCUGGACAGUUCAAUAUAAUUCUACAUCUAAUAAUACAGGUAUGCACUUGAGGACUAUAUAUGAUGUUCCUCAUAAUAGAAUGACUCCACUCAAGCCUAGCUUCUAAUCAGCACUGGGCUGGAGCCCUAACAUGGAUCCAAAAGAAAAUUAUGCAACCACUCACAUAAUUCACGUGACAAUAAAAUAAAAUAAAAUAAAAUGCACUGAUUGAAAAGCAAAAGAACUUGUCCGAAUAUGAAAUGAUGCCCUCCUUCCUUUUCAAAAGAAAUCACUCAUUGACCGACGACUUGGACUUCUAUUGUUAACAUACUGCAAAUAAUUAAGCAGUUACAUUCAGCAAUCAAAUAUUCAAAGCUGCAGUGUGUCCAAUAAGUAAUUCAAAUGAUUAGAAAAGAGAAGUUUCAAUUUGGUUCAAAUGAUGUUAUUUCUUUCUAUCUUUUCUAUUAGGUAGGAGAGGAUAACAAUUUUCAUGUCUAAAUGUCUUUUCGAUUGCAAAAAUACAUGUAUAUGCUGCAAUAUACAUUUUGCUGUUUUGUAAAUCUUGUUUUGUUACUCAAAACCAAAGAAUUUAAUCAAGCAGAGAAGAAGCAAGAAUGAAAACAUGGUUAUCACAAUGUGUCAAGUGGGUGACACAUUUGCGCAUUGUUUCAGAAAAAUACUAGUGUGCAUAAACUUCAAUUAAAAUACCGAUGUACUUGCAGAGGACAAGAUCUUGAUAGCAAAACCAUUUUGAGUCUAUUGUUUGCUCAAAUUGCUCAAAUUGUGUUGCGCUUGUACUCAAAAAAAUUCCUCAGAAUUAACUAGUUAUUUUUUCUCAUUGCAAGCGAAUUUUGUUUUUCCUUCAUUGAUGAGGUUUCUCAACGUGGUGAUCUUGUUAAUCUACAAAGACAACUUCUUUCCCCAAUCUUAAAGGAUCAAUUUACUCAAGUUUGGGAUGAACAGUGGGGAACCUCUGUCAUUAAGAAUUGCUUGUAUAAUAAAAAGGUUCUUCUCAUUCUUGAUGAUGUGAGUGAAUCAAGCCAACUUGAAAAGUUGGCUGGUGAAAAAGAUUGGUUUGGUAAGGGGAGUAUAAUCAUUAUUACAACUAGAGAUAAACGGUUGCACUUGAAACCAACAUAAUAUAACCCCACCGUUUAGAAAACGAUGUUGAAAACAAUAUGCAUUCCAAAUCGCCAUGGAUAUAUAAAUAUAUAGUUGGUAAAGCCAUAGUGAAAUUCCAAAUCACAUAUUGCAGCUUUAUUACUCAAUCCAUUCAAACCUUUCGUAAUAUUCCCAUACCAUUCUCACGAGACGCGUGUCUGUUGGCACGGCGAGCGAGGAAGUAUCCUCAUCGAUAAAUAAUAAUGAAAUGAAUAGUUAUAUAUACGUUUAUAUAAUAUGAUAUAUCUAUAUAUAUAAAGCAAAAGGCAGAGAAUGGUGAAACAUUCAAAAUACCAGAAAUGCUCUUAGUUAAUGCAAACAUUAUUAUUAAUUAAAUGAGGAUAAUAUGGUAAAUUCACACUUUUCUAUAUUAAAAAAAUUAAAAUGAAAAGAAAAAUCAGAUAAUGGAUCCUAUUUUUUUGGAACACAACUACCUACUAUCUUUUUUAAUUCUAAAAUAAAUUUAAAUUUAUAAAAAAAAAAAAAAAAAAAAGCCUCUCGCAGGCGUGGAAGCGCAUGUAGAGAGGCUAGUAUGUGUGUGUAUAUAUAUAUACACACACACACACACGUAAGUAAGACACCACCUAGUUUGUACCGGGGAAAACAAUCCAGCCAGGGGAAUGUUUGACUAGUCCAUAUGGAAGAAUCCUCAAUUGACCAUGUGGCUAGGGAACUAGCCGUCCAACUGGGACUAAGCUCACCAGCACCUACAGCAGAAUCCUCAAUACUCGUACGCCUGUGACAAGUGCUACAAGCGCAGCCUAACCUCGCUAAGGGUCUACAAAACAUCCCGUUAAGGGUGCCUGAUUUCGACAUAUCCAAGUAUCACCACAUUCAAAGUAUCCGGGGAGGCACAUAGGGUAGUGCGUAUAACACUUCAACUGACAUACUAUAACCCACUUUCUUUCCAUAAUCUCACAUCAACACCCCACGUACCCCACACAUAGCCAAGCAUAGAUUGAAAUUCACAAAAUCCAUAUAUAUAAACUCAAAAUACUCAAAUAUGCCAAAACCCAAAUAUAUUACAAUCACUUUACGAAAAUAUCAAGUUCCAACAAUUAAUUUUAUAUAUAUAAGAAAUUCAAUAAACCAAUAAAUCCUUAUGCAUAGUUUGUCCUUCAUAAAAUAAUGCAUAUCAUUUGAAAACAAAGUCCACUCACAAGUAGUACCAUGCUACCCUGAAAGGGUCCCACCUGUUGCGUAUCCGAGGUUGGAGUAUCUAUUUCAGAAUACGUGUACGAGAUUAAUAUAAAACGCUUCGAGCGGGAACUUUAAAUUAAAAUCCUAGUUUUCCUGAGUUUCAAGUAUAAGCACGAGGAACGAGACGCUCCCAAGGUCCAACUAUAUGUUUCGAAUGUUGGAAUAGUCUCAAAAGACGAUCGGUCAACCGAAUGGUAAAACUUCCCAUAUUGGGUCAAUCGGACCCACGAGGCCCAUGACCUCCGUUUUAUGAUCCGAAAGUUCCUAUGGGUUCCACAAGGUUUAGAGUACAUGUCAUGUAAGUGUGGUCCAAAUCAAACGAUCGGAUCACUCGUGAUUGCACGAUCGGACGGUCAUCGUUUGACGUAAAAUUUAAGUUAUUGAAUCGGAACAUCUGGGGCUCCGAUUCACAAUCCGCGAGUUCCUACACGAUUCAAGAGAUGCCUAGAUCAACAUAUAUAAAAUUGGAGUUGAUCCGACGGCCCAAAUAUAUCGAACCAGGAUAACGCCUAAUAUGCGAUAUUCGAUCGAAAAUCAAACAAUAACCAAAUUCAAAUAUGAGAAUACCGUCAUGCUAAGGACAAAAUGGGGAUCAUUUUAGGCAUCAAAUACCUGCCACAAAGUGACCCAUGCACCCCACAGCCGCCACCGGCGCGUGGGUGUCCAAAGUGAUUCCGGCGAAACGAAAAUCUCCAAACCGCCAGUAAAAACUUAUACCUACAUGAUUAGGAUAUUGAGUGGAGAAACUUUUAUUCUUGGACCAACCCCAAAAAGUGGCCGGAAAUGGCCGAAAUAACGAGCCGAAAAUCGGCCAGAUUUCAAGCGAUAAAUUGACAACCAAAACAUAGAAAUCAAUCCUAAAUAACCCAACCAACAGCUAGAACACAUUGAGAGGAUGAAAAAGCAUACCUAGAUUGUCACGACCUGACUCCCCUAGCAAGAUAUUGUUCGCUUUGGACCUCCCCCCCUUUUCACGAUUUUGUUCUUGGGCUCAAGCUAAUGCUAUCUUGCCCAAAAGGUCUCUUACUAGGAAGAGAAGUGCCCACACAUAUAAGACACUUCACCUUUUCCUCCCCGAGCAAUGUGGGAUCGCUCACUGUUCUUGUUUCCACAAGACACGGGUCUUACAAUCCACCCCCCUUGAGGCCCAGCGUCCUCGCUGGCACACUUUCAGUCGGGGUCCAGCUCGGAUACAUUUGUUACGACUCGACUUCCUUAGCAAGAUAUUGUCCGCUUUGGACCUCUUCCCCUUACAGUUUUGUUCUUGGGCUCAAGCUAAUGCUAUCUUACUCAAAAGGCCUCUUGCUAGGAAGAGAAGUGCCCACACAUAUAAGGCACUUCACUUUUCCCACCCCAAGCGAUGUGGGAUUGCUCACCGUUCUUGUUUCCCAAGACACGGUCUACGUAAUAGUACUAUUCAUUUCCCCACAAUCCUUCCAGGUUACAAAGUGAACAAAAUACCCCUACCCCAGGAGCAAAAUAGUAAUUUCAUAAUUUAUAAAAAUUAAUUAAAUUAUCGAAUAAAUAAAUUUUUGGGUCGGUAUGUUACAGUACCUGAGGACCAUAUAUGGCGGUCCUCAUAAUAGAACGACUCCACUCAAGCCUAUUUUCUAAUCAGCACUGGUCUAUUUUCUUUUCUACUAUUUUGUCUUUUUGUGUGCGGAAGUUGGUUUGGAGUUGCAUAUAAACAAAUUUUUUUCUUCUUGACAAUUUAUUAUUUUAUGGGUUUUGUUAGGAGGAUGCUUGGCAAAGUUGGCUGAUGGUGAAUGAAUAGACCCAAUUUCACAUAGGAGGAUGCUUACCAUUUGUUACGACUGAUGUGCUUGCAAAGGACAAGAUCUUGAAAGCAAAGCCAUUUUGAGUCUAUUGAUUGCUCAAAUUGCUCUAAUUACAUAUAAACUUUUGUGUUGUGCUUAUACUAAAAAAAUUCCUCGAUUAAUUUUCAGAAUUAACUAAUUAUUUUUUCUCAUUGCAAAUGAUAUAUAUUUUUUUUUUUCCUUCAUUGAUGAGUUGUAGGAGUAUGAAAAAACAUGUAAAAGGAAAAUCCUUGACCCUUAACCAAAUUUCGUUAUUAUCGUGAGGGCGAUAUCAAGUAAUUGCCUGCAUAUUUCCUUGAGUAUCAAAAAACAUGUAAAAGGAAAAUCCUUGACCCUUAACCAAAUUUCGUUAUUAUCGUGAGGGCGAUAUCAAGUAAUUGCCUGCAUAUUUCCUUGAAUACUCGCCCGAUCCAAUCAAAAGAAAGCACUCAUUGAAAAGCAAAAGAAUCAUGUAGCUUUCUUUUCUGGGGUUGUUCCUCCCUCUUUCAUAAAAAGGAAAGAAAAAUAGAUGACUCCCAUUGGUGAAAAGAGAAACCGUGUGCUCACCACUACACGGUUUCCAAGUUUCUUCUUGUUGGGUUCUUGGCUGAUCUUGAGAAGAAGUAUAUUUUGUGAGUUUCUCUGGCUCUGUAAUUUUUUCAGGGUUGAGGUAACACUAAGCUAAACUUGUUGGCUUGCUUCGACUAGAUUUCCAUAUCUGUUUUGUUCAGGUAACGUUGACUAAAGGGUAUACAACUUUUAGUUCACUUGUGUAGUCAUGAGGCUUAUAUUUUUGUUUUAAAUGUUGAAAUUCGUAUUUUUGUUCCUUCUAAUGUUUACAUGUUGAAUUCCUCUGUUUCUCUAUGUUGAAAUACAAAACAUAUAUAAUUUUCCAAGUUCUCUCUGUUUCUCUCUUGUUGUUUCCUCAACGUCCUUAUUUCUCCUCUGGUUUAAAUUAUAAUCCUUUUCUUUUUUGCCGUUUCUCAUCAUCUUUCUAUUUAGUUAGCAAAAGGCUUAUUUUCAUUGAGUGUUUUCAGCAGCAGCGGAUUGCCUAAUGGCAUUGAGCACCCAAAGAGACUCUGCCUUUCUUACUUCACCUGAUCAGUCUGCUCCUCAACCGAACCAUGAUGUGUUUUUGAGUUUCAGGGGUGAGGACACUCGAAAUAGCUUUGUAUCCCAUUUAUACCACGAAUUGCAGCUCAGGGGCAUUAAAACAUUCAAGGAUGAUCCAAAGCUUGAAAGAGGGACAGCUAUCUCUUCGGGGCUCUUCAACGCAAUCGACGAAUCAAGGCUUGCAAUCAUUGUCCUCUCGCCAAAUUACACGUCUUCUUCCUGGUGCUUGGAUGAGCUUACAGAGAUUCUCCAAUGCAUGAAAUCCAAGAGCACCGUUCUGCCAGUGUUUUAUCAUGUGGAUCCUUCCGACGUACGAAAACAAACCGGUAGUUUUGCGUGCGCAUUCACUGAGCAUGAAAAAAGGUUUAGGGAAGACAUGGAAAAGGUGAAGAGCUGGAGAGCUGCUUUAACUGAAGUGGCCAAUUUAUCUGGGUUUGAUUCAAAGAAUGAGUAAGUUUUUUCUUAAGCCAUUUGAUCGUAAGCCAUCACAUCUUCUUAUAUGUAUGCUUCUUAUUUUUAACUUAAUCAUCGUUUUACUUUUCUUCCUUGUAGGCAGUGGCGGACCCAGAAAUUUUUUAGCAGAGGUGCAAAAUUGAUUAAGUAUGAAAAAUAGUUUUUUGGAAUAAUCAUUUUCUCAAGAUAAUUUUUGGCGGCUUUUAUUCCUUACACAUUAAAUAAGAAAACUUGAUUUUAUGGGAUUUUAGUAUGAAGUAUAUAUUGACUUAAUGAGCCAUCAUUUUUAGCCUAAAUCGUAUUUUGCACUAAAACCGAUUUUUCAUAUUUUGAUUUGAUAGGAAUUUGAUUUUCUAGUAUUUUUAUUUGAAUCCAAAUGGGGGGUACUUCCUUAUUUACAUUAUAAACUUAAGUAAAUGGAGUAAUAUAAAAAUAAAUUAAAGUAAAAUGACAAAGACAUUUACUUAAAUGUUGAAAAUGGAAAUAAGGUAAUUUGUACACCAGUUGAGCAAAGGGGCAGUUUGAAGCACCUACAAUGGUUUUUCCGGCGAGGGAAGGUGCAAGUGCACCUCCUUGCGCCUAUGUAGAUCCGCCAGUGCUUGUAGGUGUGAAAGAAAGCUUAUUGAAAAGAUUGUUCAACGGGUGUGGAGUAAAACGCAUCGCACAUUCAAAUUGUUGGAUUCCACAGAGUGAGUGGGAAUUAAGUUUACACUUGAGCAAGUAGAUUUGCUUUUGGCUCAUCCUACGGAUGAUGUUCGCUUUAUAGGGAUAUGGGGGAUGGGCGGAAUUGGCAAAACAACCAUUGCUCAGCUAGUUUAUGAUAGCAUUUCUACCCAUUAAAGUUAGCAGCUUUCUUGCUAAUGUUAGAGAGGUUUCUCAACGUGGUAAUCUUGUUGAUCUACAAAGACAACUUCUUUCCCCAAUCUUGAAGGAUCAAAUUACUCAAGUUUGGGAUGAACAGUGGGGAAUCUCUGUCAUUAAGAAUUGCUUGUGUAAUAAAAAGGUUCUUCUCAUUCUUGAUGAUGUGAGUGAAUCAAGCCAACUUGAAAAUUUGGCUGGUGAAAAGGAUUGGUUUGGUAAGGGGAGUUUAAUCAUUAUUACAACCAGAGAUGAACGGUUGCUGUUAAAGCAUGAUGUGCAGGUAUCAUAUAAGGUAGAGGGAUUAGGUGAUGAUGAUGCUCUUGAGCUCUUUAGUCGGAAUGCCUUUAAAAAGAAUGAGCCUGAGGAAGGUUAUUUGGAAUUGUCAAAAGGUUUUGUAAAUUAUGCCAGAGGACUUCCACUAGCUCUUAAACUUUUGGGAUGCUUAGUGUAUAAGAGAGAUCAAUAUGAAUGGAAAAGUGAAUUGGAUAAGCUGCAGAAAAUUCCUAAGUCAGAAAUUAUUGAUUUGCUCAAAAUAAGUUACGAUGGAUUGGAUGAGAUGAAUAAGGAUAUAUUUCUUGAUGUUGCAUUUUUUCACAAGGGGAUGUUCAAGGAGCGUGUAAUUGAAAUACUAGACUGCUGUGGCCUAUGUGGUCAUAUUGGGAUAAAUGCUCUUGUUCAGAAAUCACUUUUAACUAUUGAUAUUUCAAAUAACACGGUUGAGAUGCAUGAUUUGAUACAAGAAAUGGCAUUGGAAAUUGUUCGUCGAGAGUGUCCUGAAGAGCCUGGUAGACGAAGUCGAUUGUGCAAUCAUGAUGAUAUCUCUCAUGUAUUCAUAAACAAUACGGUAAUAAGCUAUAUAAAGGAUAUUAAGUUUUGAAAGAUUUAUGAUUUAUCUUUAACACAGUAUUAGACUUAAUUGAUGAUAUCUUUGAUGUAUUCAUAAACAAUGUGAUAAGAAGUUAUAUGAAGAUAGUUUUGGAAGAUAUAUGAUUUCUCUUUAACACAUUUUAGACUUAAAUGUGGAAUUAACUUUUCUUUUGCUAUUCUUAAUUACAGGCAACGGACAAAAUUAAAGGCAUCAAAUGAUGCAUGGGGACAUUUGAAAAGGCAUAUUCCAAUUGUGAAGCCUUGUCUAAGAUGCUUAACCUGAGAUUUCUUGAAUUUGAUAAUAUGAUGAUUUCUUCAAGCCACGGAAUUCUUCCUAAUUCCUUGAGAAGUAUCAAAUGGAGUCGGUAUCCUUCCAAAUUUCUCCCAUCAGAUUUUCAACCGAAUUUUCUUUUUGCACUUGAGAUGCCUAAUAGCAAACUUGUUGGGCUUUGGGAUGGAAGAAAGGUAAGAGUAGUGACCAUAUGCCAUUCUAGAAAUUAGUUUUUUUUAAAAAAAUAAAUAUUUUGUUUUAAAAUAAAUCUGAGCUAAUGAUCUAUUCUACCAUUGUUAUGAAUUGUACAGGACUUGCCCAACUUGAAAAAAAUGAACCUUUGUGGCUCUGAAAACUUGACCACAACCCCAGAUUUCUCUGGCAUUCCGAAUCUUGAGGUGUUAGAUUUUCUAUUUUGUAAGAAUUUGGUUGAGAUUCACCCAUCAAUUGCAGAUCUCAAAUGUCUAACAACGUUGUCUCUUAGUUUUUGCUCAAAAUCGAAAAAGACUCCAGAAUUUUCAGGGCAAAUGAAAAAUGUGUCAUGGCUUUGUUUAUGUCAGACCUCCAUUGAGAAAUUAUCUUCAUCAAUAGGAUGUCUGGUUGGCCUUACUACUCUGCUUCUGUUGAAUUGCAAAAAUCUCGAGGGUUUUCCGAGUGAAAUUUGUAAUUUGAAGUCUCUUGAAGAAUUGGAUGCAUCUAGAUGCUCAAAAAUUGACAAACUCCCAGAGAAUGUGGGGGAGAUGGAGUCUCUUACAAAGCUUCGAUUGUAUGGAACUUCUAUAAGACAGCUGCCACGCUCCAUUGUUGGUUUGAAAAAACUAAGGGAUCUAUCUUUGGGUGGAGGAAGUGGAUCACAGCCUAAUAAAUCAAGGUUUUGGUGGGGCCUCCCCCGCUUAUAUAAAAGAAAUGCUUUAGUGUUGGGUUCACUUGAUGGUUUAUGCUCUUUGGGGAUAUUGGAUCUGAGUGAUUGUGAACUUUGUGAAGGGGAUCUUCCCAGUGAUAUUGGCUGCCUGUCCUCUUUAGCAGAAUUCAAGCUUAGUGGAAACAAUUUUGUUAGCCUUCCUGCAAGCAUUGGAUGUCUGUCUAAGCUUAAGUUAUUUUGGGUGAAUGGGUGCCAAAGGCUUCAACAAUUGCCAGAUCUUUCUAAGCUUAUCUCAUUAAUGGAUAUAGACAUAGCCGGUUGCACUUCCUUAAAAAUGUUACCACAUCUUUCGUCAAAUUGCUCAUUAGUGGAUAACAAAAUAGGUUAUCGUAAGUUUAAUUGUGCCAAUUGCUUUGUAUUGUUUGACAAUGAAGGCUACGAUAGUAUAAUACUGAAAAUGCUACAGCGAUAUCUUCAGGUUCUCUCUCUCUCUCUCUCUCUCUCUCUCUCUCUCUCUCUCUCUCUCUCUCUCUCUCUUUUGUUGUUUGCUAUAAUAAUAAUUACAACUUGCUAACCUCAUAAAUAUGUAUGUAUAUGGUGCAGGUAAUCCUUAGGCCUCCAUACAAAUUCGAAAUUGUAACUCCUGGUGUGAGAAUGUGAAGGUAAAGAGUCCCACAUUGGAAAGUUGAGAAACCUAGCAAGGGCUUAUAAGGAGUUGGGUUACUCCCCCCAUUGCCAAUUGGUUUUGGGGUGGAACCUCAACUUCCUUUAUGGUAUCAGAGCGGGUUGCCCACGUGUGAAAGCCCAACGGCCACACGUGCUCCACGUCACCCAAAAUGUGUUGUCCACGUGUUAGGCUUGAAAAUUCGCCACACGUGCGGGGGCGUGUGAGAAUGUGAAGGUAAAGAGUCCCACAUUGGAAAGUUGAGAAACCUAGCAAGGGUUUAUAAGGAGUUGGGUUACUCCCCCCAUUGCCAAUUAGUUUUGGGGUAGAACCUCAACUUCCUUCACCUGAAGGAAAAUUCCAUAGUGGUUUAGUAAUCAAAGUUUGGGACAUUCCCUAACUGUGGAGCUACCUACCACGUGGAUGGGAAUUGCUUUAUGUGCUGUGUUUGAAGUUCAGGCUGAUCUUUCUGAUUUUCAUUAUUUUCAAAUUAGCUGUUUCGCACAAGGAUUGCUGCCACAUGGAGUAUUUUCAAAAUAUUUUAAAAUAGGCGAUGUUGUGUCAGAUCACCUUUGGGUAAUUUAUGUAUCUCGUAAAGAAUUUGAGAAGAUAUGCGGUCAGAUAAAGGUUUUGUUCACAACUUAUUAUUCUCAAGACAUAAUGUGGGGAGACAAAAAAUCUUGUGUCAAGAAGUGUGGGUUUCGUUUGGUGCACGAGCAAGAUGUGGAACAACUCAACCAGAUCAUGAUGAACAAAUCCAUCAUCAAGAGCACUACUACUUGUCCUACCAAAUCAGCUGAUGCACAAGGUCAACAACGCCACAAUGACAAGGAUGCUGGUCCUAGUGGAAGUGGUAGCUCUCACCAAAAAUCUCUCUUCUGCAAUACCUAUGCUCUUUCCGAAGAGGCAGACCAAGAUGAAUUAAAAUGAGGUUGUUGAUGAAGCUCGGCCCAGAAAAAGAAAAAAGAUCGAUGUGAUGGGGCUACCUAUGAUCCUCACUUUCAAAGCAGAGGCAUCACAGCUGCUGUAUUCAAUGUGAGUGCUUCUUUCGCUGAUUCUAGUUUUCAUUUUUUUGGGAUUGUGUAUUUCAAUGAUGUUGUUUCUCUCUGCUUGUGCUUCAUUCUUUGGCCGUAUAUUGCCCAAAGUUUUGUUUUUCACCUAUUGCUCCUUCAUUUGGUUCUCCCACUGUUUUUUUAUUUGGCUCUAUUCCUUGUUUUGUUUUAGGAGCAAAUCUGAUUUUUUCUCAACUUGUAAAGAUUUUCCCCCUCUUUUUAAUAACUACACUUUUUAUGAAAAUUUUCAUAAAAACUGUUACUUAGGCCUUUUGAUUUUGAGGGUAACCACUUUGAUUUGUUACUUAGGCCUUGGACCCUCUUAUUUUUCGCUAUUGUUGAAAAGUUUAAUAAAAACUGUUAUUCUUAAAAGACGAGCAAAAUUUUUGCUACCUUCGUUAAAAACUCCUCCUCCUCAAAUAUCUGCACCUCAAUACUUUAAACGCCAACAACGAUGCUCUCACAAUUGAUACUAUUAGUAAGUCACCACCAUCUAUCUCCCUGCAUUUUCUUUUCUAGCCAUACAAUUAUCUUUCUUUUUUUGGGUCUGAAUAAGUUCUUCAUUAACAAAACGUCAAAGCAGCGCCAACAAAACACAACAAACAAGACAAAGGCUAAACUAAGCUCCAGACAGAGAGUUGAGAUAAGCAGCCUAAGUCACAAAAGAGCAAAUCUAAAGCAACAAUAAUUUAUGAAAACCUCCCUAGAGGACAAGGGAGGCCACCAGACAGUAAAACUCCCACAAGAGACAGAGGUGGCUUGACAGCCCAACUUUCCGAUUGCUCCGCUCUGAUUCCAAUCGCCGCUGUGCGGUUCAAUUUCCUUGACAUCCAGCUCCAAAGAACCGAUCUAAAACAAACAGAGAUCUUCUUAAACUCAUCCAGAAGAGGUUGGAUAGACCAAACACCAUUUUGUUUUCUCCUCCUCUGACUCCUUCCACCAGAAUCUUCGAAUCUGUCUCGAGGAUAAUGUCGGUGAAAUUAUGAUUUAGAGCAAAUUUGAAAGCACGAAGGCUAGCAGCCGCCUCUGCAACCAGAGCCAAGUUGCAAUGGAACGAAGUCGCUAAACCACCACAAAAGGAUCCGAUAGCAUCUCUAGCAACUACACCCAGCCCUGCCAAAUGCGAGUCCUUUUUCCAUGCUCCAUCAAAAUUAAUUUUCACAUAGUUAGACAUUAGAGGCCUCCACCCUUGAGCAAGAAUGUUUGGAUCAACUGAAGCAUCCCCAAAAGGCAUAGGAGAUUUGGCCUUAGCAUCUAAAAACUCCCUACGGUUUUGUAUUGCUCGAUCAAUAGUGAGCCGGGGAUCAAUGUGGCUGCUCUUAAAGACAAAAUUACAUCCAGUCUUCCAUAUCUCCCAGCAAAUGAAGCUAAUAUUAGUAAGUAGAAAAUGAACUUCCCGCUUGCUUAAACCUUGAAAAUUAAUCACUCCCUUGAGCCAUCUGUCAACAGAAGAGAAACCCCUCAUAUCAACUAUGUAGUUCAAAGGGACAACAAACCGCACAGCAUUAGUCCAAGGACAUAAGAACAAAAGGUGCUCAAUUGUUUCUUCCUCCACACCACAAAUUGGACACACCGGGGAGUCAAUAAUUUUGCUUCUAUAGAGAUUCCAAUGGGUAAAAAUGGCAUUAGGUAAUACCCUCCAGAGGAACAUUUUAAUUUUUUGCCAUAGUUUCAAUCUUCCAUAUACACACCCAGACCUCUUUUGGAAUUGAGUAGGAGGCCGACACUAUUGCACGGAUUCGAUAUGAACGCCAGGAAUGAAUUCUUCUGUAUCCUGAUUUGACUGAGUAGGCAAUAUUAGUUGUCCAGUGCCACACCACUCUGUCCUAUCUCUCAGUAUUCGCAAUUGUACAACAUCGGAUAAUCUCCCAAGUGCAAGGUUGUACAUACGGCUCAAUCAACUCUAGCUUCCAAGAAUCUAUCUCCUUUUCCAUAAUCUCACAAACUAACUGAGGGACUGAUGAGGGAACAACUUGCCUAACUAUGAUAAUCCCAUCAUGGGGAGGAGAAAGCCAAAGGUCUUUCUAAAUAUUCGUAUUUUUUCCAUAAAAAAUCUGGCAGCGAGAGUCUUUGAUCAAAGCAUCCCUUCCUUCAAGGAGGCUAGACCACGGACAAGCACGGGAACCUUUUUCGGCAUUAAGGAAAUCACAAUUCGGGUAGUAACUGUUGGUUUAUAAGUGUGAUUGCUGAAAUAUAAUUAGAACAAAGAAGUUUCUAUUCUUCGUUUAAAAGGCAGCUUUGGAUCACAGUCCAAGUAUGCAGCAGAAAAUGUAAUAGUCUUGUGCCACUUGUCUUUAUCUCAUAGGGUAGUUAAAUGAGUGGCUAGGAUUAAAUGAUGUAAUGAGGAAUAUUCCAUUCCUUACGGUUUUGUCAGAGCACAAUAUAUGCAUGUUAUAUUGGAGCUGAGCUAAUACGAUUUUGAGCUAGCUUCUUCUCCAAUCUCUCUCUCUCUGAAAUUCUCUCAUCUUUCAUCUAGCCAAUCUCUCUGCAUUUCUAUAAGCCUUAUUACAUUGAUGAUUGAGUAAAUUUACAAGAUAAUGGUCUGUAUAUGUUAACAUGGCCUCAGAGCUAGGUUUGAUCAAAUAACACUGGGCGUUUAGAGUUGUGAGCAAUCGAAGUUUGUAGCUGAGUUUGAGUUUUGGAGAUCUGAGUCUAACACGGCUAGGUCAAGUGGUGGUGAAUACACUCGUAAAGGUAUAAGACCAAUUAAGCCAUUAACAUAAUUAAGAUGAACAAAAUAGACCCUACUAAUUAAGUAACUAGCAUGGCUAGAGACCCCAUGCGUUAUUCUUAUUGAUUGAAGAUCUCAAAUUCUUCAAGGGACCAACUUCUCCAAAUUAGGAACAACUUUUACAUUUAUAGGAUCAUGAAUUGAAGGUGGUGAUGGUGGAUUUGCCGGCGGGGAUUUGACAUGAUCGGCUUCAUCACAGUAACCCUUGAGUACAUCAGUCUCUUCCGCGGUAAACCCUAGCGUGCCAAGUAAGGCAGGCCAACACUGAUGCUCAAUGGUCCGAAUGGCUUCACAGCAACUGUGACCCAAGUAAGUUUCACCAUUCAGAAAAAACAUGACAACCUCACCAGAACAUGCCUGGAGUUGAAACAACGAGUCCCAACAGUUGGAAGAUUCUUCACCCAAAUUCAACCUGGCUGCGAGGUUCGGGUUUGACCGAAUUAGGUUAGGAUUCAAAAGUCGAGCACUUGUGGCUAAGAAUGGCAUAGUCAAGGUUAGAAGAGCUGUGAGAAGAAAGAGCUUGAAAGUUGUGUAAGCUGCCAUUUUGAUUUUGAUUAUUGUGGAUGAGUAAGAGAUUGAUACGAAUGAAGGUUUUUAUAUAGAUGGUGAGGUGAUUGUGUCAUAAAAUGAAAAAUAAAAAACGUUAUGUGCAUUGGGUGGUGAAGAGGCUGCUGAGGAUAACUCAUAAUGACUAUGAUCAUGUGAUUAUUUAACGGCAGGAGAAGUGGAUGAGACUCAACUCAUCAAUUGAUGAUGCAUAUAUUAUUUAUAAUAGAAUUUGUGGGAAUUAAAAUGAUUAAACGGAUUCCCAAUCAAUGAUAUAUCAGACAAAUUAAUGGAUAGUUUCUUGUGUUUGUGAUGGUUGGUUUGCUUGCUAGCUAGUGUAGGUUUUCUUUGCUGAUUUCAAAAGGGUUGACCAUUCAUUUGCUUACUGGAAGUUGGUCAUUGUAUUGAAUGAGACCCCUAAUUGGAUGAUUAAAUUUAUGUUUGCUUUAUAUUUUAAUUUUAUUUUUCUUUUGGAUUUUUAAUUAUUGAAAAAAUAUGCUUACCUGUUUAGAGCUAGACAAUGACAAUUUAUGAUUGUGGGUUUGCUUUGGCACUGUGCUUUUGCAUGUCUGCCCGAUUCGCUAGAGAUUUUGGGCUUUAGUUGGUGCCCUUUAGCCUUCGGUUGCUAUCUUGGGCUUCCACUUGACGAGAAUUCUAUAGUGCAGGCCUUAUCUAAGCCUCUUGGAUGUUUGUUCAGCUCUGUUGUGGUUAAUUGGGCUGUGUUUGUUGCUCGCUGAGUUUUUCUACACUGCGUUCCUUUUUGAACAAUAUCUCCAUAGCUUACAAUACAUCUUAAUGUCGUCUUCUUAUAGCUCUGAAACUUCUCCUAAUAACAAUCAAAAGAAAAUGAUGGCUCCAAAAUGUUUUCCCUAGCGUGAAAAUGUACAUUCUUAUGACUAGAUUGAAUUCAUCAAUCAUGUGCUACUUCUUAACUCCAAUUUUCCAAAUAUUUUACAAUGAAAAAGUUACUAUAAUUUUAUUCAAGAUACAACUAGCACUGCCAAAUUCUACUCAAUUUAUUGUGAUGUUAAUGAACCUAUCAUGAAUUCCAUUAUGUUGCAUAAUUUGAAACUGAGAUGCUAAAUAAGAGAAGACUACAUAAUUGAAUAAUAGAUUGCACAAACUAUCAAAGAUACGGUCAAUGAAACAGACAAGGGAGGAGUUCCGACAAAGCAAUUGAUCGAUUUUAGAUCAUAUCAAUGCCAAUGUUUAUGCGUCUGAUUGAGAAUUCUUGUUGGCUUAUUUCAUCCUACACAUAACAGAAUAUAGCAGUUUAAACAGUCACAUAAGUUGUGUCAAUAAGAACCAGGCAGGUCUAAUGAACCUGAAGAUUUUGAGGUGAAAAUUUCAUGCGAACCUGGCCAAUAAGCAUGCAAAUACUUUCGAUCAUUUUGAGUUGCACAUUAGCAGUGUGCCCAGUAACGGCCAUGGCAUUAGGAACCCAAAUUUCAGUUGACUACAGGACACAAAUGGCUGGCUUCAAUAGCAGUAGUCUUGUAAUUAUGUACUUGAAUGCAGAAACAAAAAAAAGUUACAGUAUGUCCUGUUUAUUUGCAUCAUAAAUCUUGCAUAUACAUACUUUUGCAAUGGGAAAAAAAAAAAGUAGCAAGAUAAAUUGUUCUCCUCCCCUACUUAAUAUCAUUUAAACGUGUUGGAAGACAUAUCACUGAAACAAACAAGACAAACAACCAUUCACUCUAUCUUAAGAUAGAUGAGAUCAUGGAAGACAUAUACUUGGUUGCUGAAAGUAACUACUUAAUGAUUUGCAGUAUGUUAACAGAUACUUUGCUCAAGUGCUAUAUAAUAUGCAGCAACAUGAGUUAAUUAACCUGAUUAAUUAGUGCUCUGCAGUAGUUACCAAAGAAAUGUUCUUUCUCAGAUGCAUAAAGCUCAUGUUAUCAACCAAGAUGACAAAUGUACAUGAGAGAGAGAGAGAGAGACACAGAGAGAGAGAGAGAGAGAGCAGAGGAAUUAUCAUCGAAGAUAUGAAUCUAAUGAUAAAUGUAUGGCUAGAAAAGAAAAUGCAGGGAGACAGAUGGUGGUGACUUACUAAUAAUAUCCAUUGUGAGAGCAGUGUUAUUGGCCUUUAAAGUAUUGAGGUGCAGAUAUUUGAGGAGGAGGAGUUUUUAACGAAAGUAGCAAAAUUUUAGCUCCUCUUUUCAGAAUAACAGUUUUUAUUAAACUUUUCAACAAUAGCGAAAAAUAAGAAGGGGCAAGACCUAAGUAGCAAAUCAAAAGUCCUAUGCACCCCCUGCUGUAGUUGAAAAUUUUCAUAAAAAGUGCAGUUGUUAAAAAGAGGGAGAAAAUCUUUACAAGUUGAGAGAAAUUCAGAUAUGCUCCUAAAACAAAACAAGGAAUAGAGCCAAAUAAAAAAACAGUGGGAGAACCAAGUGACGGAGCAAUAGGUGAAAAACAAAACUUAGAGCAAUAUAAGGCCAAAAGAAUGAAGCACAAGCAGUGGAACAAACAAUAGUACGUUAAAUCCCAAAAAAUUGUAAACUAGAAUCAGCAACUCACAUUGAAAUACAGCAGCUGUGAUGCCUCUUGCUUUGAAAGUGAGGAAUCAUAGGUUAGUCCCAAUCACAUCGAUCUUUUUUCUUUUUCUGGGCCGAGCUUCGUCAACAACAUCAUUUAAUUCAUCUUGGUCUGCCUCUUUGGAAAGAGCAUAGGUAUUGCAGAAGAGAGAUUUUUGGUGAGAGCUACCACUUCCACUAGGACUAGCCUCCUCGUCAUCAUGAUGUUGUUGACCUUGUGCAUCAGCUGAUUUGGUAGGACAAGUAGUAGUGCUCUUGAUGAUGGAUUUGUUCAUCAUGAUCUGGUUGAGUUGUUCCACAUCUUGCUCUUGCACCAAACAAAACCCACACUUCUUCACACAAGAUUUUUUGUGUUCCAGCAUUAUGCCUUGAUGAGAAUAAUAAGUUGUGAACAAAAACUUUAUCUGACCGCAUAUCUUCUCAGAUUGUAUACGAGAUGCAUAAAGUACCCAAAGGUGAUCUGACACAACAUCGCCCAUAGUAAAUUCUUUUGGAAAUACUCCAUGUGUCCGCAUUCCUUGUGGGGAACAGUUAAUUUGAAAAUAAUGAACAUCAGAAAGAUCAGCCUGAACUUCAAACACAGCACAAAAAGCAAUUCCCAUCCACGUGGUAGGUAGCUCCACAGUUAGGGAAUCUCCCAAACUUUGAUUACUGAACCACUCUGGAAUUUUCCUUCCAGGAGUUAAAAUUGUGAAUCCGUAAAGAGGCCUCAUAAAACGGAGUACCUGUACCAUAUACAUAGAUAUAUACAAGGUUAGUAAGCUGUAAUUAUUAUUACAGCAAACAACAAAAGAGAGACAGACAGACAGACAGAGAGAGAACCCGAGGCUGAAGGUAUCGCUGUAGCAUUUUCAGUAUUAUACUGUCGCAGCCUUCAUUGUCAAUCAAUACAAAGCAAUUGGCACAAUUAAAAUGUAUUCUGUUGUUUAAUGAGCAAUUUGACGAAAGAUGUGGUAACAUUUUUAAGGAAGUGCAAUUGGCUAUGUUUAUAUCCACCAAUGAGGUAAGCUUAGAAAGAUCUGGCAAUUGUUCAAGACUUUGGCACCCAUUCACCCAAAAUAACUUAAGCUUAGAAAGACAUCCAAUGCUUGCAGGAAGGCUAACAAAAUUGUUUCCACUAAGACUUAAUUUUUCUAAAGAGGACAAGCAACCAAUAUCACCGGGAAGAUCCCCUUCACAAACGCCACAAUUACUUAGAUCCAAAUACUUCAAAGAGAAUAAACCAUCAAGCGAAGCCAACACAAAUGCCUUUCUUCCAUUUAAGCGGGGGAGGCCCCACCAAAACCUUGAUUUAUUAGGCUGUGAUCCACUUCUUCCAUCCAAAGAUAGAUCCCUCAGUUUUUUCAAACCAACAAUGCAGCGUGGCAGCUGUCUUAUAGCAGUUCCAUUCAGAUGAAGCAUAUGUAAACACUCCAUCUCUCCCAUGUUCUCUGGGAAUUUGUCAAUUUUUGAGCAUCCACUCACCUCGAGCUCUGUAAGAGACUUCAAAUUACAAAUUUCACUUGGAAGACCCGCGAGAUUUUUGCAAUUCUGUAGUGACAGAUCAGUAAGGCCAACCAGACAUCCUAUUGAUGAAGAUAAUUUCUCAAUGGACAUCCCGCUUAAAUUAAGCGUUGACAAAUUUUUCAUUUGCCUUGAAAAUUCUGGAAUCUUUUUCAAUUUUGAGCAAUAACCAAGAUCCAAGCUUUUAAGACAUUUGAGAUUUGCAAUUGACGGGUGAAUCUCAACCAAGUUCUUACAAAAUUGAAAAUCCAACAACUCAAGAUUCGGAACGCCACUGAAAUCUGGGGUUGUGGUCAAGUUUUUAGAGCCAAAAAGCUUCAUUUUUUUCAAGUUGGGCAAGUCCUGUGCAAUUCAUAACAAUGGUAGAAUAGAUAAUUAGCUCAGAUUUAUUUUAAUUUUUAAAACAAAAUAUUUAAAAUAAAAUUAAAAACUAAUUUCUAGAAUGGCAUAUGGUCACUACUCUUACCUUUCUUCCAUCCCAAAGCCGAACAAGUUUGCUCUCACGCAUCUUAAGUGCAAUAAGGAAAUUCGGUUGAAAACUUGAUGGGAGAAAUUUGGAAGGAUACCGACUCCAUUUGAUAAUUCUCAAGGAAUUAGGAAGAAUUCUGGGGCUUGAAGAAAUGAUCACAUUAUCAAAUUCAAGAACUUUCAGGUUACACAUCUUAGAGAAGGCUUCACAAUUCCAAUCUGCCAUUUCAAGUCUCGCCAUGCGUAAGGCAAUGCCUUUAAUUUUGUAUGUUGCCUGUAAUUAAGAAUAGUAAAGGAAAAGUUAAUUGCACAUUUAAGUCAAAUUUCAAGAUAAAAAUAAAUCAUAUUUCUUUAAAAACUUAGUAUUUUCUACAUAAUUCUUACUAUAUUGUUUAUGAAUACAUGAGAGAUAUCAUCACGAUUGCACAAUCGACUUCGUCUACCAGGCUCUUCAGAACACUCCCGACGAACAAUUUCCAAUGCCAUUUCUUGUAUCAAAUCAUGCAUCUCAACCGUGUUAUUUGAAAUAUCAAUAGUUAAAAGUGAUUUCUGAACAAGAGCAUUUAUCCCAAUAUGACCACAUAGGCCACAGCAGUCUAGUAUUUCAAUUACACGCUCCUUGAACAUCCCCUUGUGAAAAAAUGCAACAUCAAGAAAUAUAUCCUUAUUCAUCUCAUCCAAUCCAUCGUAACUUAUUUUGAGCAAAUCAAUAAUUUCUGACUUAGGAAUUUUCUGCAGCUUAUCCAAUUCACUUUUCCAUUCAUAUUGAUCUCUCUUAUACACUAAGCAUCCCAAAAGUUUAAGAGCUAGUGGAAGUCCUCUGGCAUAAUUUACAAAACCUUUUGACAAUUCCAAAUAACCUUCCUCAGGCUCAUUCUUUUUAAAGGCAUUCCGACUAAAGAGCUCAAGAGCAUCAUCAUCACCUAAUCCCUCUACCUUAUAUGAUACCUGCACAUCAUGCUUUAACAGCAACCGUUCAUCUCUGGUUGUAAUAAUGAUUAAACUCCCCUUACCAAACCAAUCCUUUUCACCAGCCAAAUUUUCAAGUUGGCUUGAUUCACUCACAUCAUCAAGAAUGAGAAGAACCUUUUUAUUACACAAGCAAUUCUUAAUGACAGAGAUUCCCCACUGUUCAUCCCAAACUUGAGUAAUUUGAUCCUUCAAGAUUGGGGAAAGAAGUUGUCUUUGUAGAUCAACAAGAUUACCACGUUGAAAAACCUCUCUAACAUUAGCAAGAAAGCUGCUAACUUCAAAAUGGGUAGAAAUGCUAUCAUAAACUAGCUGAGCAAUGGUUGUUUUGCCAAUUCCGCCCAUCCCCCAUAUCCCUAUAAAGCGAACAUCAUCCGUGGGAUGAGCUAAAAGAAAAUCUACUUGCUCACGUAUAAACUUCAUUCCCACUAACUCUGUGGAAUCUAAUAAUUUGAAUCUGUGAUGCGCUUUCUCCCACACCCAUUCAACAAUAUAUUCAAUAAGCUUUCUUUCACACCUACAAAGAGGAAAAGUAAAAAGCAUACAUAAAGAAGAUAUGAUGGCUUGCGAUCAAAUGGCUUACGAAAAAACUUACUCAUUCUUUGAAUCUAUUCCAGAUAAAUUGGCUACUUCUGUUAAAGCAUCUCUCCAGCUCUUCACCUUAUCGAUGUCAUCCCUAAACCUUUUCUCAUGCUCAGCGAAGGCGUCCGCAAAAGUGCCGCUUUGUUUUCUCACAUGGGAGGGAUCCACAUUAUAAAACACUGGGAGAAUUGUGCCCUUGGAUUUCAUGCAUUGGAGAAUCUCUGUAAGUUCAUCCAAGCACCAGGUAGAAGAAGCAUAUUUUGGGGAGAGAACAACGAUUGCAAGCAUCGAUUCUUGGAUUGCGUUGAAGAGCCCUGACGAAAUAGCUGUCCCUCUUUCAAGCUUUGGAUCAUCCUUGAAUGUUUUAAUGCCCCUGAGCUGCAAUUCGUGGUAUAAAUGGGAUACAAAGCUAUUUCGAGUGUCCUCACCCCUGAAACUCAAAAACACAUCGUGGUUCGGUUGAGGAGGAGACUGAUCAGGUGAAGGAAAGGCAGAGUCUCUUUGGGUGCUCAAUGCCAUUUGGCAAUCUGCUGCUGCUGUAAACACCCAAUGAAAAUAAGCCUUUUGUUAACUAAAUAGAAAGAUGAUGAGAAACGGCAAAAAAGAAAAGGAUUAUAAUUUAAACCAGAGGAGAAAUAAGGACGAUGAGGAAACAAGUUUCAGACGCAAAGAAGGAAACAACAAGAGAGAAACAGAGAGAACUGGGAAACUAAUAUAUGUUUUGUAUUUCAACAGAGAGAAACAGAGGAAUUCAACAUAUAAACAUUAGAAGGAACAAAAAUACAUUUAAAACAAAAAUAUAAUGCAGAAAUUAAUGUUUUACUUGAACAAAACAGAAAUGUGGACGAAGCAAGCCAACAAGUUUAGCUUAGUGUUACCUCAACACCGAAAAAAUUACAGAGCCAGAGAAUUUGUAAGACCAGCAAGCCAACCAGAACCUCACAAAAUAUACAACUUCUCAAGAUCAGCCAAGAAACCGACAAGAAGAAACAAAGCUAGCAGCCUCAGAAAAGAGAGAGACUUGGAAACCGUGUAGUGGUGAGCACGCGGUUUCUCUUUUCACCAAUGAGAGUCAUUUCUUUUUCUUUUUUCUUUUUUAUGAAAGAGGGAGGAAGAACCCCAUAAAAGAAAGCGACAUGAUUCUUUUGCUUUUCAAUGAGUGCUUUCUUUUGAUUGGAUGGUUGCUUUCUUGGUAAAACUGUUGUGAGAUUUAAUUCAAGGAAAGAAUAGAAACUAUUACAUUUGCUGCUGCAUACUUGGACUUUGAUCCAAAUCUGCCUUUUAAACGAAGAAUAGAAACUUCUUUGUUCUAAUUACAUUUAAGCAAUCACACUUAUAAACCAACACUCCCUUCUAAGUGUUGUGCUGAAAUGACUCCUAGAGCUUUCCUCAGAUAUUCAAAUCGAUCUCUUGCCAAAGGCUUGGUGAAAAUGUCAGCAAGUUGCUCUUCAGUUUUGCAAUAUAGUAGAUCAAUCUCACCAUCUUGAAGUGCAUCUCGAAUGAAAUGAAACCUUCGAUUGAUAUGUCUGGUUUUGUGAUGAUGAAUUGGAUUCUUCGAUAUAGCAAUAGCUGAAGUAUUAUCACAUAGCAAUUUAGUUGCUUCUACUUGCUCUUCCCCAAAGUCUGAUAAUACAAACUCAGCCAAAUAGCUUGUGUAGUAGCUUCUGCUGCACUCAUAUACUCAGCCUCUGCAGUUGAAAGAGCAACACUGCUUUACUUGAUUGAAGCCCAAGAAAACACACCUGAUCCCAAAUUAAAUGCAUAGCCAGAUGUGCUUCUCAUGUCAUCCUCACUUCCACUCCAAUCACUAUCACAGUAACCUAUUAGCACUGCCCCUUUUCCCUUGUCAUACCAAUUCCAUAAUUUAUAGUACCUUGAAUGUAUCUGAGCACCUUCUUUGCUGUUCCCAUGUGCUUCUUGGUUGGAUUAUGCAUGAAUCUAGCCAAGAGGCUUGCUACAAACAUGAAAUCUGGUCUGGUUGCAGUCAGGUAGAGCAAACUCCCCACCAUUUGCCUAUACAAAGUUUCAUUUGCUAGAUCACUUCCAUCCAUUUUUGACAAUUUUUCAUUCACAGCCAGUGGUGUUGCAACAGGCUUGCAAUCCUUGAGUCCAAACUUGUCAAGCAAAGUCUUUACAUACUUCUUUUGGUGUAAGAAGAUGCAGGUAUCAGUUUGUAGAACUCCAAGGUCAAGGAAGUGAUGAAGCAAUCCUAGGUCAUUCAUCUCAUAUUGCCUCAUCAUCUCAUUCUUGAAUUCAGCCAUAAUUUCUUUUGAGCUCCCUGUGUAGAUAAUAUCAUCUACAUAUAGUGACACAAUGAGAAUACCACUUGUAGACAUCUUAGUGUACAAUGUAGCUUCACUUGGACUCCUAUAAAAACCAGUUUUAGUAAAGUUGGUGUUUAUCUCUUCAUACCAAACUCUUGGAGCUUGUUUCAAACCAUGUAAGGCCUUAUCUUCACUUCCUUGUAUCACAAAACCAGAUGGUUGAUCCACAUACACUUCUUCUUUCAGCACUCCAUUAAGAAAUGCUGACUUUACAUCCAACUGAAAUAGCUUCCAAUUUCUCUGUGCAGCUAAAGCCACCAAGGUUCUCACAGUAUCAAGUCUUGCCACUGGUGCAAAGGUCUCAUUGAAGUCUAUUCCAGGCUUCUGAGAAUAACCCUUUGCCACCAGCCGUGCCUUGUUCUUCUGCACAGAUCCAUCCAAGUUCAGUUUUGUCUUAUAGACCCAUUUAACACCAAUAAUUGGUUUGUCAGAUGGUCUAUUCACAAGUUCCCAAGUGUUAUUUUUGUUUAUCAUCAGAAUUUCAUCUUCCAUAGCUUUCUUCUAGGAAUCAUCCUUUGCUGCUUCUUCAAAACUCUCUGGUUCUAUGAUGCACAUAUUGCAUUUCUCAUAGAUUUUUGCAAUGCUUUUGUACUUGCGAGGUGUGUGAUCAAAAUCUUGGGAGCUUGGCAUUCUUUCUUGAUCACUAGAUUCAGUACUAGUGCCAAAUAUUUCACCUUCUUCACCUUGUACUUCAGGAUUACUGCUGUUUUCUUCUUGUCCUUGGUUACUUGCAGUUAUUUCAGCAAUUGGAACCUUCACACUUCUUUCUUUCUGUGUUUUCCAUUCCCAACAUACAUCUUCAUUGAACACAACAUCUCUAGACACAAUUAUCUUUCCAGAUUCAGGACUAUAAAGUCUAUACCCCUUUUCACAGCUUCCAUAGCCUAAGAAAAUACCUCUUGCUUAUCAAAUCUAGCUUCUGCCUUUGUUGACUCGGAAUAUGAGCAUAGCACAAUGAACCAAACUCUUUCAGAUGCUUAAAUCCAGGCUUUCUUCCACUAUAAGCUUCAAAUGGUGUUCUCUUAUUCAAAGCUUUGGUUAGACACCUAUUCAAAAUAUAAACUGAUGUAUUAACUGCUUCAGCCCAAAAAUCAAGAGGGAUCUUCUUCUCUAGUAACAAACACUUUGCCAUUUCCACAAUAGUUCUGUUCUUUCUCUCUGCUACACCAUUUUGCUGUGGUGUAUAUGGAGUUGUUAGCUGCCUUUCUAUGCCUAUAUCUGCACAGAACCUAUCAAAUUCUAUUGAGGUGUAUUCUCCUCCUCGAUCACUUCUAAGCUUCUUUAAUUUAUAGCCACUCUGCAAUUCCACAAUAGCUUUGAAUCUCUUGAAUACACUCAGUGUCUCAGACUUUUGUCUUAAGAAAUAAACCCAAUACAUUCUUGUGUUAUCAUCUAUGAAAGUGAGAAAGUAUCGAUUUCCAGCUUUUGUAGUUGUUUGCAUUGGACCACAGAUAUCACUGUGUACAAGCUCUAGAGGAGUUGAUGCUCUAGUAGUAGCUUCCUUUGGAAAUGACUCUCUGCACUGUUUGCCUAGAAUACAACCCUCACAUACUUCUGUAAUAGCUGUAAUUUCUGGCAAUCCCACAACCAUUUCUUGCCCUUGUAGUAAUUUCAGACUACUCAUAUUUAGAUGCCCCAGUCUUCUAUGCCAUAUUGCAGUAGAGUGACAAACACUUGACUUGUAGGCAAGAUGUAUUUCAGCCUGCAAUUUCAUUGGAAAACUUCGAUUUCCUCUCAUUUGUAUCCUUGCAAUCAAAUUAGACUAAAUGAUUAGAAUAAUCAGUUUCUAUCGAAUUCUAUAUGGCCUAUCAUGAAUGCAUAGUUUUUGUUUUUCAAGUUUACCCUCUUUGAAUGUAAUUAUUUUUUCCCAAUAAGAAAAAGGGUAAUGUCAUCGCCUUCUUCCAUAAUUAAAAAACAAUUAUUUAAAAAUUGAAAAGAAAAAAAAAACUAAGUCUUUCUCCCUUCGUCUUCCUCUUCCGCGUCAAGCCCCCACCCCACCACCCCAAAACCCAUGUAGAAAAAAUAAAACAGAGACACCCAUCUCAUGCAGCCAAGGCUGCCAUGCCAUAUAAUGAAGAAAAAAACAAACCCAAAUCCUAAAUUUCAUAUCAUAAAAACAAACUGCACCAAAUAAAUCAACUGCUAUUGGGUGAGUGUGGCACGGCAAAAGGACUAUUUUUUUCAACCAAAUUCCAAAGAUUAUUCGGAAGAGAAAAAUUGGGUUCAAUUGUAAAAAUAUUUUCUGAUACAUUCCUUCGAUAUAUAUUGGAAUUUAUUUCAGUAGUAAUAGAAAUAAAAAUGGGGCCGCGCCGCGCCUCCACCAAGAAUGGGGUGGGUUUGGGCUGAGACAGUUGGAGAAGGGAAGAGGCUGAGACAAGUUGGAUCAGAGAAGAAGGCCUGGGUUUGUUGGUGGGGUUAGUUGGGUGUGGGUUGCGGUGGGUGUGUGGCUAGGGUAUGGUCGAGUGGGGUGGCUUGGUGGGUGUGGGUACUGGCGGACUCAAGAAUUGUUUAACAGAAGUGUAAUUUUGAUAGGCUAAAAACUUUAUAAUAAAAAAAAAUAUUGACAACUAAAUAUCAUUAUAAUUGAAACAUUAAGGGUCUUAGGCUAUGAUUAUGACUAAUUGACUAUAGUAUAUCAAUUAAUAUAGAAAUCAAUAUCAAAUCAUCAAUUAAUCUAAUGAAAAUCAGUAUCAAAUUAUUAAUGAAAUAAUCAAAUCAUAAUUGAUUGUAACUCGACUUGUGAGUCGCACAACCUCUUCAUUCUGAGUUUGCUACUAAUCAUAUGAAUACAACAGAGAGAGCAAAUUAGAAAAAAAAAAUUAAGAAAAUAUUUAAAACAAAAACAAAUUUCGCCUUUGCUCAAGAAGAAGAAAAAAAAAAAAAAAGCAUCAAACUUACUUUGGAGUUGUGCAAUUGGUGUUUGUUCCCUAACAAAAACGGUUGCUCAAAAUUGGUGUUAAUCCUUUAUCCUCCCAAUCCCACAUAAAUAAGGAGUUGUGCAAUGUAAGAGUUUUCUUUUCCUUUUUUUUUAAAAAAAUUUAAAAAUCCUUGUUUAAAAAGAAGAACAACAAAAGCUUGUUAAAGCCUCUUUCUGAAUAGCCUUUUAUCAUGUUUUAAGUAGCCCAUAUCAGAGUUUGUUAAAGCCUACGUUCAGUGCAAGUCCAGUUUCCUGAUUUUUAUUUAUUUAUUUAUUUUUAACUCUGGUCUAAAAUGACAUCGUUUUGGCUAGGAUUUUUAUUUUAUUUUAUUUUAUUUUAUUUAUAUAAAAAAAAACCUUAGUUUUGGUUGAUGUAAUUCAUCGAACAGGUUGAGUGCACCACCCAACCUCACCAAAGAGGCAAGAUGUAGCGCCUGCAGAGGCUUUUCGGGCGAGGGGAGGUGCAGCUGCACCUCCUUGCGCCUUAAUAGAUCCGACACUAGGUGUGGGGUAGGGGGGUGGGAAGAGGGCCGUUGAUGAAUAAAGUGGGAGGAACUUAACGGGGAAGGAGGAAGACAGAGAGACUUAAUUUACUAUGUGUAAUCAAUUAAUUAAAUAUAUUUUUAUUUUAUUAAUACAUUUAAUAAGGGUAAACUUUAAAAACAAAAGUUAGAUUGUCCCGAGGGCGGGUCUCCGUCGGGUAUGGGGAGGGGAUGGUAUUGGCGUCCCCAUCCCCAAACCCGACCUGAACAUAUAUAUGUUUAUAUUUAAAUAAAUAAAUACAUAAUUAUAAUGUUUAUGUUUAACCCUAAGUUAACAUCCCUCUCCUAAUUCUUCAUAAUCUUCUCUGGAAUUUUCAUAUUGAUGUGAUUUUGAAUAGUUGAGUUGAGCUUUAUAGUUAAUUUGGAUGUGUUGAAUGAUAAUUUAAUAUGAAACUUAAUGUUAAAAUGUAUGAUAAAUAUUUUUUAUGCAAAAAAAAUUGGGGAUUCGGGGUGGGUAUGAGAGAUAGUCCCCCAACGGGGAUGGGGGCAGGGAUUUUCCGAAACCUAUUAACGAGGAUGGGUUCGAGGAUGGGGGCAGGGAUGGAGAGUGGGAACGGAGAUGGUAUUGUCAUACCUGGCCCCUACCCAACCCGUUGCCAUCCCUAGUCUAAACUGCAGGGCAUAAGGAUUUCUUAUACACACAAUUAUGAUGCCGUGGGUAUGGGGGAUAGUCCCCCAACGGGGACGGGGAUUUCCCGAAACCUAUUUACGAGGAUGGGUUCGGGGAUGGGAGCUGGGAUGGAGAGCGGGAACGGAGAUGGUAUUGUCAUACUUGGCCCCUACCCAACCCGUUGCCAUCCCUAGUCUAAACUACAGAGAAUGAGGAUUUCUUAUACACACAAUUAUGAUGCCGUGGGUAUUUGAACCUAAGACCUCUGGUCUGCAAGUCAAUGC